UAUAGCUGGGUAAGUGGAUACCCAACCAGGCUGAGCGAGGGGCUCCACUAUUAGCAAUGAUACACAGGAGGGGAACUGACUGAAAUAGACUGGGUAUGGCUGCUCCCGUGUUCCAUGACCAGGACAUCGUGAUUUGAGAGAAAACUCCAACAAUCAUAUGACCCACUAUGAGCAGCACUUUGGCGACAGUGGGAA